rnacentral:tRNA from 1 species
AUCUCGCGAGAGCGCCACGGCCAGGUGCUGGCCAUCGGGCGACCACGACGGCGCGCUGUUGUUGCCCUUCUGGUUCGACACCAGCGUGCGCUU